rnacentral:pre_miRNA from 1 species
UGUAGGGGCGAGUAAUGGACUCACUGUGUCUUCAAAUCGUAGUCAGUCUUUUUCUCUCUCCUAUA